GAUGAACGCUGGCGGCGUGCCUAAUACAUGCAAGUCGAGCGAACAGACGAGGAGCUUGCUCCUCUGACGUUAGCGGCGGACGGGUGAGUAGCACGUGGAUAACCUACCUAUAAGACUGGGAUAACUUCGGGAAACCGGAGCUAAUACCGGAUAAUAUAUUGAACCGCAUGGUUCAAUAGUGAAAGACGGUUUUGCUGUCACUUAUAGAUGGAUCCGCGCCGCAUUAGCUAGUUGGUAAGGUAACGGCUUACCAAGGCAACGAUGCGUAGCCGACCUGAGAGGGUGAUCGGCCACACUGGAACUGAGACACGGUCCAGACUCCUACGGGAGGCAGCAGUAGGGAAUCUUCCGCAAUGGGCGAAAGCCUGACGGAGCAACGCCGCGUGAGUGAUGAAGGUCUUCGGAUCGUAAAACUCUGUUAUUAGGGAAGAACAAAUGUGUAAGUAACUAUGCACGUCUUGACGGUACCUAAUCAGAAAGCCACGGCUAACUACGUG
rnacentral:rRNA from 1 species